GAGGCUUGUGGACCUUGCUAAAUUUAGUAUUUGAAACUAAAUUAAGCCAUGAGCAAGGGCUACGAUAUCUUAGCUCAAAUGGGCACUCUUGUACCAAAAAUCACUCAAAUCAGCCCUAAUAUGGCUCAAAUGUGCACUCAUGCAUCCAAAUCACUCAAAGCAAGACCAAUAGAGAACUAACAAGCUUUAAAGUUGUAAAAUGCAUCUCCAAUGCUUCGAAUGGCUCCUAAAUACUCCAAAUGCCCACUUGGGCACUUCCAAAACUCCAAAUGCCAGCAAAGAUAUCUCGCCUGAUGGAUCGUUCGGAUGUCUGGGUCCAACUCGAUCUUGUGUUCUGCUAACUUGGCUGGGAUGCGCUUCAAGUCUUUAUACGACCAAGCAAACACGUCACUAUACUUCCAGAGCAUGUGUUCGGCUGCAUUGGCUAGGUCGGCCUCCUAAUUGGAAUUGAUCUUAAGUGAUUUCGGAUCUACGUCCGUUCCAAUGUUGAUCUCUCGAACUGCCUUCUGCUCCGACUUCGUCCAUGUUUCAACGCUUCCGCCUGGGAUCUUCUGGUAGGCUGGUGCUUCGUCGAUCGAAACGGCUCCUUCCUUGUGCUCGUAGAACUGCUGUGGAUAAGGUCGAGCGUGGCGCUCCAUCAAGUCGACCUGGAUGCGUGCCGAUAGUUCGAUUGUGCCAAUCGGGAUCAACUCCUCCUCGAAAGCUGUGCAGAAUCGACUGGAGACUCUGAUCCGCUCGAAACCCGCCUCGAGAAACUGCGCCACAGUUUCCACCGACUCCUGCCCCGUGAAUGCCCGCACAGUAACCCACAUCACCAUUCAAAGCACAAAACCAAAGGGAAAAUUAAUACAAGGAGCAAGUGGAAGUGGUGGAAUUCAACAAAGAGGAGAAGUUUAAUUGCCUCCUUUCUUAAUGCCUCUAACCUUGUAGAUUGUGCUUUAUACAUGUGCAUUUGUAAGAUUUAAAUGUACAUUUGUAUGGCUCCUACCACUCCAUGUACUUUGAAUUCUUAGUUUAGUACACUUGAAUAUAUAGCUCCUUAUUUGCUUGGUUUAUAAAAAUAAACAUAGGUAUUUUCUU